ACUCCUACGGGAGGCAGCAGUGGGGAAUAUUGCACAAUGGGCGCAAGCCUGAUGCAGCCAUGCCGCGUGUAUGAAGAAGGCCUUCGGGUUGUAAAGUACUUUCAGCAGUGAGGAAGGUGGAUAUGUUAAUAGCAUAUUCUAUUUGACGUUUAGCUGCAGAAGAAGCACCGGCUAACUCCGUGCCAGCAGCCGCGGUAAUACGGAGGGUGCGAGCGUUAAUCGGAAUUACUGGGCGUAAAGCGCAUGCAGGUGGUUUGUUAAGUCAGAUGUGAAAGCCCGGGGCUCAACCUCGGAAUUGCAUUUGAAACUGGCAAACUAGAGUACUGUAGAGGGGGUAGAAUUUCAGGUGUAGCGGUGAAAUGCGUAGAGAUCUGAAGGAAUACCGGUGGCGAACGGCGGCCCCCGUGGACAGAUACUGACACUCAGAUGCGAAAGCGUGGGAGCAAACAGGAUUAGAU
rnacentral:rRNA from 1 species